rnacentral:rRNA from 1 species
AGCGAACGCUGGCGGCAGGCCUAACACAUGCAAGUCGAGCGCCCAGCAAUGGGAGCGGCAGACGGGUGAGUAACGCGUGGGGAUGUGCCCGAUGGUGCGGAAUAACCCAGGGAAACUUGGAUUAAUACCGCAUGUGCCCUUCGGGGGAAAGAUUUAUCGCCAUUGGAUCAACCCGCGUCUGAUUAGCUAGUUGGUGAGGUAAAGGCUCACCAAGGCGACGACCAGUAGCUGGUCUGAGAGGAUGAUCAGCCACACUGGGACUGAGACACGGCCCAGACUCCUACGGGAGGCAGCAGUGGGGAAUAUUGGACAAUGGGCGCAAGCCUGAUCCAGCCAUGCCGCGUGAGUAAUGAAGGCCUUAGGGUCGUAAAGCUCUUUCGCCGGUGAAGAUAGUGACGGUAACCGGAGAAGAAGCCCCGGCUAACUUCGUGCCAGCCGCCGCCGUAA